rnacentral:lncRNA from 1 species
GUGAUGAAUUCUGCCAUGUGGUACCAGACUGCUGCCCAGACCACAGUGUCCUCUGCAACCCUGGUAACUCACAUACAGGCCUGAUUCCACCUACAGCAAAGCUGGAUGCUAUGGUUGGCAGAGGCAAGCCCCUUGCCUGCACUUCAGGCCAAAGCCGGGAUGUGGCCUAGAUGGUUCCUAAGCUUCUCAGAUGACCAAGAUGGUGCUGCCGAUGGUGUUGAGGACGGAGAACCCACCAAGCCCCGUUAGGAGCCACCUAGACUGGAUGCAGAGCACAGACAAUUUGCUGAGGUCUGGGAGCACCCCCUCCAGAGAGUCCCUGAUCUCUCACAACUUGGUCGUGAUCUAAAGUUUAUUUGAUGUACAACUCCCCCUCCCCUUCUUUUGGAGUUUUAUUUGCUUCCAAGAAGGAAGGCAAGAUUUCCUGGGUCCGUGAUGAUGGAAGGCUGACAACUCUUUUAUGGAUUUUGAGCUUGCUCCCAGUAGGGAAGACAAGUUCAAGUUUUUUUCCUGCUUCAAGGAUGGUGGAGAGCAGUCUUCAGCCUGAGACCCAUCCCUAG